UAACACAUGCAAGUCGAACGGCAGCAUGGUCUAGCUUGCUAGGCUGAUGGCGAGUGGCGAACGGGUGAGUAACGCGUAGGAAUAUGCCUUAAAGUGGGGGACAACUUGGGGAAACUCAAGCUAAUACCGCAUAAUCUCCUUGGAGAAAAGCUAGGGACCUUCGGGCCUGGCGCUUUAAGAUUAGCCUGCGUCCGAUUAGCUAGUUGGUAGGGUAAAGGCCUACCAAGGCGACGAUUGGUAGCUGGUCUGAGAGGAUGGCCAGCCACACUGGAACUGAGACACGGUCCAGACUCCUACGGGAGGCAGCAGUGGGGAAUAUUGGACAAUGGGGGCAACCCUGAUCCAGCAAUGCCGCGUGUGUGAAGAAGGCCUGAGGGUUGUAAAGCACUUUCAGUGGGGAGGAGGGUUACUAGGUUAAGAGCCAGGUAAUUGGACGUUACCCACAGAAGAAGCACCGGCUAACUCCGUGCCAGCAGCCGCGGUAAUACGGAGGGUGCGAGCGUUAAUCGGAAUUACUGGGCGUAAAGGGUGCGUAGGUGGUUAAUUAAGUUAUCUGUGAAAUCCCCGGGCUCAACCUGGGCAGGUCAGAUAAUACUGGUUAACUCGAGUAUGGGAGAGGGUAGUGGAAUUUCCGGUGUAGCGGUGAAAUGCGUAGAGAUCGGAAGGAACACCAGUGGCGAAGGCGGCUACCUGGCCUAAUACUGACACUGAGGCACGAAAGC
rnacentral:rRNA from 1 species